GGGAGGUGAUGAGUGGUAAAAGCUUGCGCUUUGAUGCGUGAUGGGUGUGCGCCCAAAGCCUGUUACGACAAUGAGCACACUCUAAUCUUUACCAAUCUGAUCCC